rnacentral:lncRNA from 1 species
UGGUGAGUAUUAGCGAAAUCGGGCCGAACCGGACACGGGUGCCGCGGGAGGUCGAUUGCAAGUGUCGACAAGCAAUCGGAAAGCGAUUUGAGGUGGGUUGUGCUCACCGAAGCAACUAGGUCGCCUAUAUGUCUAAGAGUAAUGGUUUUCUAAUUGAUACAUAUAGUUGUAUUGGUAGGCUUACAUGAUAUUGCAAAUGCUUAAAAAACAUACUAUGUUGUUGAGAUUACCUACCAAUGAGAUGAAAUGCAUAAUGAAUUAAAUGCUAUAUAAAUGUUAGAUAAUGCAUAUUGGCAUUGAAAUGAUGCAUGUAGUUAACACUAAAGGAAUGCAUGUUAAUUACAUAAUGUAAAAGCUAAGUAAAUGUUUAUGAUAAUUGCUAAGCCUUGAACGUACAGUGGAGACUCUGUCCGCGAUACAGGGAAUGUUAGGAUUUCCAUAUAUUGUGGCCCAAUUAAUCAUAUUUAAUUUAGGAUUUGCUAUAGAUAAAGGUCAAUCCUAACAGAUUUAGAGCUACUUGAUAUGGCAUAUUUUAUCCCUAUCCCAUCUAUUUUAAAUUUAAAUAGAAUCCUAAUCAGACUUUGAUGGGAAGUCGAUUUGGGCUCUAUAUAAAGGGGUAUUGGUCCUGCCACCUUCUCAUAUGCAUUCUGGUGAAGAAUUACCAUCGGUUCCACACCAUACGGUAGAGUGCCUGAGAUAGGAGGAGAAACCAAAUCACCUAAGUUGUGCCAUAUUGCGCUCUGUGAGUUAUUUAUCUUAUUUGAUCCUGAAUUUUGGUAUGUAUUUAAUUUGUUUCGUAUUUUAUAUCCCUUGAAAUUCUAUCAGGAAAAACUCUGUCCGUUCGGCGGUCUGUCGGCGUGCCCGAAUCCGACCAAAUAGGCGGGCUCGGGGCGUAACAGAUAAGAUGGUAUCAGAGCAUAAAGUAGAGAAUGAGAAUAUGGUUUAGACAAGCCUAGGAGACCCUAGGAUAGUGAAACCAUAGGAGAAUAAGGCUCGUGAGAGAGGAGGACUUGUGAUUCGCGGCGAAAGGUUAAUGGAUUUGGUUGUGUCGGAACCUCUAAGACGGAUAUUAGAGAUAGACACGAGGUAUCGUUUAUUUUCGCCGAGGGUAUUCAUGUUGGUGCGCGACAACACGAGGACGGGGGACGAGAAUAAACGCCCUUGCUUGACUUUCGCCUGAUUGACUUGUGGGGUCGGUAUUAAGUGUCUAGUGUUUGACUUAGAAGGUCGAUGAUUAAUAGAGUUGUCAUGUAUUAGGAAAUGACGGCACCGCAUAGGCGAUCUUCAUUUAGAUCGGCGCGGGAUGGGCCAAGUGGUGUCCCUGGGCAAUUUGAGGCGAGCGAAGACUUGGAACUUCGCGAGUUUCGGCGGCCCUCAUGACCUUUAAGCGGUUUAACCCGCCUGUCAUCGAUGGAGAGAAUGUCGAUCCGUGGAUCGUGGAGAUGUGGAUUGACUCUAUGGAAACGCUCUUUGACGAGCUGUACACCUUGGAGCGAGAUAAGGUACCCCUGGCCGUACAUUGUUUGAAAUUAUCGGCAAAGGUGUGGUGGAAAGGUAUUCGACGGAAUCGAUCGCCUAGUCUUCCUCCUAUGGCUUGGGAUGAGUUUCGGGGAUUGGUACUCUCUACUUACUUCCCCGACAGUGAAAAGAGAAACCUUCAGGACAGGUUCAGGAAGCUGCAGCAAGGAGACCACGCCGUGAGGGAAUACGAGCGGGAAUUCUCUUAAAUCGUAAGUUGCGUCCCGAGCGUAGUGCGGGAUGACGAGGAAGUGGCCGAUGUGCCUCUUCGGAGACUUCGGUCGGACGUUGUCGAGGUUGUGCAGGUAAGGAAGUGAAUUCUCAAAAUUCAAGAGUUGGACUUCGCUUAGAAUUGACUAAUUGUCGAGUGGGUAGGCUUCGGAAAAGUUAAAGAUGUCCAAAACACAAAAUGUGCUUUGGAUUCGAGUCCACGACAGCAAUAGUGCAAAAUCUGUAUUUGGCAGAUUAUGCUCUCGGGGACCGGUCCCUGGCAGGGAGAGACCGGUCCCCUCAGCUGGUGGUUGUGGCGACGCGCGGGGCAACCGGUCCCUAGGCCAGGGAGACCGGUUCCCGAACGUGUGAGAUUGGGAAGGUCCAGAGGGACCGGUCCGUCGUCGGGGAGACCGGUCCCCGUAGCCGAAAUUUGCCCAGUUUGGGCAGUGCACAUUCUUAAGUUGCAGUCGCAAUCCUGAACCUCGGAGGUGUCCUCCGUUAACUUCUCUGAGAUACGGGAUCGUAGAAGUUCUCACCAGGCGCGGCAAUGUGCGCUGCGUGAUGAGAUGGGCAUUCGUGUGGGCGAUUGCCGGGUUGUGCUCGUGUAGCCGGUGUGCAUAGGCAGAGUUGCCUAAUGCUGGACUUAGUAUACGGCGUGUAGAGCGCUUGAGGAUAGAUACUCGUGGAGUGCGGUAUUGACUCAGCCGGAGUGUGUAGGCAGUAGCACCGUAGCAUUGCUAGGUGUGAAGCGUGCCUGGGAUCACUCGUGGGCUGAUGACUCGCACUAGUUAGUUAGGAGCCGAUAGUGUGGUGUUGUUCAGGUGAGCAUGUCGCGUGAGACGACGAUAGCGGGUAUUGCUUAAGGACAAUCCGUGCCUGGACCAUUUGUGAACUGUGGAGCCUCGGCCCAUUGGGCAGGCGCAGUCAGCUGUGAGUGACAGCGGCCCGGUACCUACGGGUAGGGCAGAGUUCUGGUCAGGACGGUAGUUCGAGCUUAGACCCGGGAGCGUGGAAUGCCACGUGAUAGAUUGUAUGACCGAUGGUACACCGAGUGCGGUUGUGACCCAACCCGAGGACUUGACGUGGUUUGGGGUCUUAGUUGCUCCUGGUUAGAGUGUGUGCGAAUUCCCAAGUGAGAAUUUCGCCCGAUGAUGAUUGGGUCUGCAUUUGCGAGCGAGAGACGCUGCGUAUUGAGACAGGUUUAGGCGGUAGGCCUACGUAGGAUUGGUGGCCUUUGGUCCACCUGUGGAGACCGAAGAGAGCGAUUUGGCGGAUAGCCUUAUCGAGGAGUUUGACUCGAAUUCACGAAUGAAGCGCUCGUGUGAGCUCAUUGCGAAAAUAAUUUGAUGUUAAUCGUGGCAUGUGGUAUCAGAUGACGAAAUAUUCCUUGUGAGACAUCAAACUAGUGGAAAGCCACUUGAUGUUGGAGACUAUGCUCGUAAACGAACUAAGACUUGAGAGGUGCCGAAGUGGGCCAUCUCACGUUAAAGUUAAGGGUCAAUGCGAAAUUAGAGCACUCACGACGGAGCGAUGCACCGGUGAUAUUGCUUCUGAGCAAUGUCGGUGAUUGAAUCAGAAUGUUUUCCUUGAAGGGAAGGUAAGUGAAAAGAAGAGUUCUUUGUGUAUCGAAUGGCGAGUGGUGUUGGAGAGCGUAGAGUCGUCGAGUAUCGACUUGCGCUGCCACUAUAACUUGCAAGACCCGUGAUGCACUUUUGUAUUACACUUUGCAAAUGUGUUUAGGAUUAAACCCACGUCCUUCAGUAUGAGCCGCUUCUGGAACCAUGAUAGUGUGAAGCCGCUUUGGAGUGGGAGAAUGAGUUGGUACCCUCAAUUGCUCGCGGAGCUGAAUUGAGGUGCGGUUUGAAUUUCGCGGUCGAAAUUCUUUUUAAGGGGUGGAGAAUGUAACAUACCAGAUUUUGAUAUAAAAAUAAAAAAUAAAUAAAAAUAGUGUGAGAUACUAUUUUUAUUGGAUUUAGAGAAGUAAAAUAUAAGUCAAAAAUGACUUGUGCUGAAAUCGGAAUGAAAACAGAAGAUUUAGAAUUUUCUAUUGGAAACGGGACAGAUAAAUUAGCAGAAAAUGCACAGUGUCAGAAAAUUAUGAAAACUGGAGGAUAAGUCAGAAUUAUUUUUAUGAGGCUAGAUUUAAAGUUUCAUGUCAUUCUGACACCCGGAAGGUGGGAAAGUAAAAUCCGACGACUAUCUGAUAAAGAUUACAGUUCGGUACAGUUUUCGGUGACCAAACGGGGUCGAAACUGAAAUAUUAAAAUUUCUUUGUACUUAUUAAGUAAAACCGAGCCUGCCUGUCAAAUUUCAGAGCAAACUGACAUUCAGAAAGGCUCCGGCAAAAAACGUCAGUUUUAAAUUGCCCGAAGUGAAUAGUGUUUUCGGGUGUAAUUAUAAUAGAAGCAGCUUGCUUCUUCCUCCCUCAACCGUGCUGCACACACACGCACACCACACACACACGCAUACAUGGUGGGGAGAGAGAAAGCUUCCCCUUCUCUCUCUAGAUUUCUCUCUCAUCUCUCUAUAUCUCUCGCUCAAAUUCGCGGCGUUGGCGGAGACCAAGCUUGCGAACGCGUUGGAAGCGACGGAUCGAGCUUUCGUGCGCCCUUUCGUGCGCCCGUUGGAGGGGCAUGCUUUCGUCGCGGCAUUCACGUUUUGGUAAGAGUUUGGGAUUUUGUUUAAAUCCUUCAUGAAUGAUGUUCUAGUAGUAUCUAGAGUGUUCUAAACAUAUUUUCUCCAUUUAAUUUGGAUUAUUUGGAAGUUAAUUGCAUGUUAGGGCUCCGAAUGGGGUUUUAUAAAAUAGUAGGGUUUGAUCUCAUUUGACCCUUCGUAAUCCUAAUUGCUAGGUAAACGAACGCGUUGGCGAAGUCGGUUCGGCGAUUUGUCGAGCCUACGCGAAGUUAUUAAAGAAACGGACGUUUAGGCUUUAUUUCCGCCUGGAGGGCCGAGACGACAUCGUAAAAUCAUGAAAACGGAUUUGGAGCACCGUUGGUGAGUAUUAGCGAAAUCGGGCCAAACCGGACACGGGUGCCGCGGGAGGCCGAUUGCAAGUGUCGACAAGCAAUCGGAAAGCGAUUUGAGGUGAGUUGUGCUCACCGAAGCGACUAGGUCGCCUAUAUGUCUAAGAGUAAUGGUUUUCUAAUUGAUGCAUAUAGUUGUAUUGGUAGGCUUACAUGAUAUUGCGAAUGCUUAAAA